CUUAGGAGUUGUGUAUAUUGUCGUUGUUGUUGCCUCUUCUCUUYCAAAGUCCGACACUGUUCCACAUUUGGCCACUGCGUCCACCCAGAAGCCCUCAUAAAGCUGACCUUUGUCCAGGUUGUACGUCCUCCACCCACUGGAGGGCAACUAUUAUUGCCAACGGUUCAACUGAGUAUACUAACAGUUCAUUGUUAGUGUUCUACAUAUCUGCACAUCAAAUUCAGGAACGGAAACGCCUGCUCCUGUAAGCCCACUAUCUGGUUCCUUGGAUCCAUCUGUGAAAAGCGGUUAUAUCAACAACAGGAUCUGGGAGUAACCAUGGAGGAACAUCCCCUAUCAUCACAGAAGGACCAACCUCUAACUCCCUCAAACCACUCUCAUCAGCAAGCUUUCCAACUGUCCAACUUAAACCACUGCCUUGUCUACUAGUAUAUUCCCAACAGUCAUCUAGAACAGUAGCAGUGGGAUGCUCAACCUCACAGCUUUUCAACAACUUUUCAAUAAGCGAAUGACCAUUUUUUACACCAUAUAUCAAAAGGCAUCUCACCUGCCUCCACUAGUAAGGCACAUACAUAUGUUGAUUUAAAUGCACCAAUACAUAUACUUAAAGCUAUAUGCUGGUUUCUGUCCAGUUUCUGAAGCCAAGUAUUCGCCGCUGUUCCAUAAACUAUACACACGUAAUCAAUUGCUGUCCUGAUCAGAGCCCUAAAAAUAUCCGUAAUCGAUUGUCUUUCAGCACCCUAUUGCCAACCAGAGACCGAGCGCAUAAGAUUCACCACCUUCUUACACUUUGUUUCAACAUUUAGRAUGAUCUUUCCAUGUAUACCGCUCAUUGAACCAUAGACCUAAAUAUUUGUACUUAGAAACCCUCCCCAUAGGCUGUCCAUACAGAAACAACUGUAUAUUAUCAGCAACUUUCUUCUUCGAGAAGAACAUACAGCAAGACUUUGCCACUGACAAUUUAAAACCCAAAUCAAUCGACCAUCUUUCAACAUCCACUAUAGCUUGUUGAAUAGAUUUGAUCCCGAGAGACAUUCUUUCCCCUCUUCCAAAUAGCUCCAUCAUCAGCAUAUAGGGAAGCCCCAAUACCCCACCUACAUUCGAAAACACAUUGUUAAUCAUAAUAUUGAACAAAAUAGGACUGAUAGCACUGCCUUGAGGAAUACCAUUGUCAACUCCAUAGGCUUCAGAUAAAAUGUAUCUUAUUUUAACCCGGAAGAAGCGAUUAAAUAAGGCCAAAACCCGGUUAUAUAAUCUCCCACCAAAACCAAGUCUUUCCAUUCUCUCCACAUAGAGUCAUAAUGUAAAAAAAGACAGUAGACAUUACUUCAUUCAUGACCAGAGUUUUUUCAACUUCAUUGUUCACCUUUAUUAAUGCAUCCAAAGUAGAUCUACCUUUUCAGAAUACACUUUGACUCAAACCUCCAUGUUCCAGGAAAUAUGACAAUCUUUCAACUAUCAUCUUUACACAAGUUAGAGGUCAGUGCUACUGGUCUAUAACUAUCAGCACAUGAAAGGUCCUUACCAGGCUUUACAAAAGGUAAUAUUACUGCACGUUUCCAACCAAAAGGUAUAACCCCCUCACUCCAAAUCGUAUGAAAUAAUCCCAGGAGAACAUGUAUGACCUCAUCAGGUAGAUGCUUAAACAUUACAUAGCACAACUGAUCAUGACCCGGGGCUGUAUAUCCACAGCCUAUUAAGGCUGAACACAUCUCAUGUAUGGUCAAAUCAGGAUCCAAAGAAGAGUUAACAGUAUUCAUUUUCUUAUACACAUUAACAUGAGCAUUUAAAAUGUCACACCUGUUUUGCUUAUCAAAUCAAAUUUUAUUUGUCACAUACACGUGUUUAGCAGAUGUUAUUGCGGGUGYAGCGA